CACUGGGUGACUGAAAGUAAGUGUAAGUCUUUUAAACUUAUUAUGGUAGCUAACGACUACCUCCUGUGA
rnacentral:tRNA from 1 species